rnacentral:lncRNA from 1 species
AUGCAGCUGGGAGAGCCCUGCCUCAGACAGCUAAUGAGGCAUCGCGGCUUGAUUUCUCUACUUGAAAGUGCUGACUCCAUCUGUGUCACCACGGGGAAGAGGACGAGCAGAAACCAGACUGGCCCCAUCGAACAUCAAACACUUGACCAAGGUUGCAUAUUGGAGCUCAGUGUCCCAAAGCACUGCCUUUCGGUCAUGAGGAUCUGUGAGCUGCAAGCACCCACCCACCCUCCUGCUUCAAGGAGAGAGC